rnacentral:rRNA from 1 species
CGGCUCUUCGGAGCAGUGGCGCACGGGUGAGUAACGCGUGGGAACCUACCCUGAGGUUCGGAAUAACGGUUGGAAACGACCGCUAAUACCGGAUGUGUCCUAUGGGGCAAAGGCUUGCCGCCUUGGGAGGGGCCCGCGUCCGAUUAGCUUGUUGGUGAGGUAACGGCUCACCAAGGCGACGAUCGGUAGCUGGUCUGAGAGGAUGAUCAGCCACACUGGGACUGAGACACGGCCCAGACUCCUACGGGAGGCAGCAGUGGGGAAUAUUGGACAAUGGGCGGAAGCCUGAUCCAGCAAUGCCGCGUGUGUGAUGAAGGCCUUAGGGUUGUAAAACACUUUCGCCGAUGACGAUGAUGACGGUAGUCGGAUAAGAAGCCCCGGCUAACUCCGUGCCAGCAGCCGCGGUAAUACGGAGGGGGCGAGCGUUGUUCGGAAUUACUGGGCGUAAAGGGCGCGUAGGCGGUGACGUUAGUCGGGCGUGAAAGCCCCGGGCUCAACCUGGGAUGUGCGUUCGAUACUGCGUUGCUUGAGAGCGGAAGAGGGUAGUGGAAUUCCCAGUGUAGAGGUGAAAUUCGUAGAUAUUGGGAAGAACACCAGU